CCUCUCAUGGCGUAGUGGUAACGCACUCCAACUAGAGAUCGGGGAGUCGUGAGUUCGAGUCUCACUGAGAAGA
rfam:Aedes aegypti strain Liverpool supercont1.370 genomic scaffold, whole genome shotgun sequence.